UACGUAGGGUGCAAGCGUUGUCCGGAAUUAUUGGGCGUAAAGAGCUCGUAGGCGGUCUGUCGCGUCUGCUGUGAAAACUCGGGGCUUAACCCCGGGCCUGCAGUGGGUACGGGCAGACUAGAGUGCGGUAGGGGAGACUGGAAUUCCUGGUGUAGCGGUGAAAUGCGUAGAUAUCUGGAGGAACACCGGUGGCGAAGGCGGCAUCCUGGACCAACACUGACACUGAGGAGCGAAAGCCAGGGGAGCGAACGGG
rnacentral:rRNA from 1 species